UUAUAUGUUUCUUUAUCUAUCCUGGCUCAGGGGGUCACUGUCAGCGGCCUGGGAAGGCCCAGCCAGCCUCUUUGUGGACGGUACCAGUCAGAGGACUUGGAGCCUCAUGCACAGAGGGUCCUUGCACAGGGCUGGCUAGCAGCAGCCGUGUUCUUAGGAAGCCAACUGAAGUGGAUGUUCAAGGGGGCGAUUCAUCAUUUCCCCAACCAUGGCAUGUCACUGCUGAAACCUCUGUUCAGUACUGUCCUAGGUACUGUUGCCUUUGGUCUUUCAGAGUAACUGGCAUAGGGCCUGCGGUUCUCAUACACUGGGCUUCUGGGUGGUGAAAGGAGGAAUGUGUACAUGUGGACAUACCUGUGGAGUGAUUUUGCUUAGCCCCAGAUCAGGGUGGGGAGAAAAGGCUGAGGGGAGGAUACACAGGUGACUGUCACGGACGCGCCACUAGGCAGCAUGCUGGGUGAUUGGAACACAGCUCCCGAAGAGGGGGAGCUGAUCCUUGAGCACAGCCUCAUAUUCUUAUCUUGCUUACAGUUUUUAAAGAGAUUAAUUGCCUCUACUUUUCCUCCGUAAGGCCCCACCCACUUAGGGCACUGGCUUUGGAUUAAGUGGUGACGAAAGACCCUUACUUAUGGGCUCCAUGAGGCCCACCUCCUCUUGGUCCUGGGCUUCCCUCAUGCGUGCCCCUCAGGGACAGCGCCCUGACUGCUGUUGUGUCUUGAAUGUGGCCUACCUUCUGGUUGGUCUUCAGCUUGGCCUCACCUGGGCUGCUGCUGUCUCCUGGGGCUGCACCCUUGGUUGGACAAGACUUGCACCUAUUUUUCUGGGAACCAUGCCUGCUUCGAGGGCAGUUUGGGAGGUGACUUGGAUGAAGUGUUGGGUUAGGAUGUGUGGGUGAUUUAUGAGAAUGGAGGGGGCAAUGUGUGAAGUCUAGAGGUUCAAAUCCAUUGACUGUUUGAAGGCCUUAUCCAUUCCUCCCCUUUAACCCCAUGCCUAUCUGGUGGUUCCUUUUCUUCUCAAGCCAGUGAGAUGCCAGGAGUGUAUCUGUUAAGGGUGGCAGUCGUACAGCGCUUAAUGUGUGCCGGCCACAGUGUUCAGGGUUUGCAUGCAUUAUCUCUUCUAACCCACAAACCCUUUGAUGACAUGGUGUGGUCCCCAUUUUGCCAAAGAGGAAGCAGGCUCUGUCAUGGAGGCUGAGAGCAGCGGCUGAGAAGACAGACUUCAGGCUCCUGGUCUGGGGCUCCUGGCCUCCUGCUCCUGCCUAGCUGAGUCCAAGACUGGUUGUAAGAUUUUAUGAGAUUAUGCAUGAAAACAUCUAGCACAGUGCCUGACACAUAGUAAGUGCGCAAUAAAUAAUUGUUAUUCUCAUUGAGCUCAGGCGGUCAUUUAACCCACACUGGUGUAAUGCCAGAAAAUGGGUUCCCAGCCACCACCCUGCGUACAGCCUGGUGUUCACGGUCUGGAAAGUGACCACACCAUCCCUUCGAGAGAAGCAGUGCAGUUGUAAUGCUAUCUGCCUCACACAGCAGUGGGGAAGAGGAGGGGAGGGUGCACAGGGUCUGCUCGGUGGGCGUGGCCUGCCCCAGCUUGGCGUCCACUUCCGGUGCGUGUGUCUGAUCACCCCACUGCUGUUUUCACUUCCUGGGGUGACUGUACUCUGUGGAUGGAAAAGGCCUGUGACUUGCUCUGGGCCCCACUCCCCCUCCCAGGCCGACCAAGGGCCAUGCUUUGUGCACGCAGCUCAGGAGCCUGCGGUUCCCUGUACAGGCAAAGGAUCUCAGUGACCUUCUAGAGAAGCGGAGAAAAUGGACCUGUUCUGAAGCAGACCACCGAUCAGGAGGCUGGAGUCUGUCCACUCCCUUGCCCCUAGCUUGGGGUCUUCUGUUCUUUCUCUUUUUCUUUCUUAAAGUAGUAACAACAUAGAGUGUGAGAUCGAAAGCCGAGGACAGGUGACAUUCAGUUUUUCUGUUGGUUUGUAAGUGAGCUACAAGUGGGAGUGAUUUGUGAGUGAGGAACGAACAGGCUGUAGACAGUGCAAAUGUUUGUCUGGCUGGAGAUUGGGAAGCGUAUGUGAGAAGGAUUGUAUUGCAGGAAAGGCCCUGGCUGACAGAGCCUCUGGGUUCUUAUGGCAGUGGGUAAUGGUGUAAGUUAGAACUACUGCCGUGACUGUGGACUUUCCUGCGUGUUCAUGGAACCCGGAGGCCUACUGCUGGAGUCUAAAGCACCAUUUCUCCCCUACUAUUUAUUACCAAAUAAUGUCAGGAGUCAGAGAAGUGGGAGAAGGUUUCUAGUGAGGCCUGCAAGGACAGCCUCAUCUGGGCAGGCCUGCCUGGACGGGGGUCUUCAGCCUGGCGCUUCCUUUCUGCCUCCCUCACUGUGACCCAGGCAGCUGUGUGUGGUGGCACAUGCUGUAACCCUGGUACUUGCAAGGCUAAGGCAGGAGGAUUGCUGUGAGUUUGAAGCCAGCCUGGGCCAUAUAGCAAGAUCCUGUCUUAAAAACUAAGCGACCCAGGCAGCUUUUAUCUAGAGAGAGGGAGGCUCCUCACAGGCUGGGGAUGGAACGGGGACUCUGGUUCUGCAGCGCCUUUCCUCACUCAUCAGGUCUGUAUGCUGCUUUGCUGGCUUUUAGCAACACCAAAAGGGAAGGGAGUUCUGCAUGCUUCCUAGCAGGCAGGAAGCACACAUGUGUUUCUUGACAGUGCCCUCGAGGCUGCACUGACCUUUGGUAAGGGCUUCUGCCUCCUCUUGCAGGCUGGGGUGUGGGGCUGAUUACAGAGGGAAGGAGCCGAGCAGAUAGCAGGGCUGAGGGACUCGAGGUGAGAGAACAGUGAGGGGCUGAGAGGCAGUGACUUGUCUGCCCAGGAGUUCUGAGAAGCCCUGCGGCGGCAGUGGGAGGGUGGGCAGGACUGGGGACCUGGGAGCCCCUCACUGAGGACACACCUGAGGCCAGCGGAGUCUCUGGUGAGUGUGAGGGUGAGGCAGUGGGCAGGGAGCCCACCCCAGGGGACUGAGAGCUCCCAGAUGGCCUCCCAGGGUCAUGCUGGUGCAACCUUGCCCUGCUGCUACAUGGUUUUCCUCCCCUCAGCCCUUUGGGUUUCCCCAGGUGGGCGUGUGCUUGUGUGCUCUGCUGUGCCCUUUACUCACUGUGGUGUUUUUUAAAUCAGUGUUUUCGCCACAGCAGACCCUUCCUGUGCACCCUGAUUAAUGUGCAGCAGUACUCAUAGGCCCGUUUCAAUGCAUUGUAAGAACAUGGUAUACUGUACGGGAAAGCAUUUACUGUUUAUAUACCCGAAUGUUCCUACUACAGAAAUAAACGUGUAUUGAAUUCUA